CCUAUGUUUAUCGUAAAUUAUGAUAAAUGAAAAUACAUGAAUAAAUAUAAUUAUAUAAAAUACAUAUAAUUUGUUUGAAUACAUCCCACAGUGAUGUUGAUUUGUGUGGCUGUGAAUAAGUGGGAAUUCAUAUUCUGCAAGUAAAUCAACUCAUCAAACUCGAACCAAAGCUUUUCAUAAAAAAGGAAGUAACACAUUCCAAAUCAAUACUCUGGUAAAGUGAUUGAUCCAUUGAUAAUCAGCAUCAUCAGAGUAAUCCAAGUCCCUGUUGGAGUCAGUCAGAGCAUUUCCAUAGAGAGCCACUUUGCAUCAGCAGCACCAUGCUCCAGUGCUCUGGGAGAGUUUAUAGUCCUGAGAGUUGAACACUGGAUGACUGACAGCUGUCCUUCAUGACAACAGAAGCCACAGAAAUCCUCCUCAUCAAAAACAUGACUUUGAUCUCCGUCCUCAUCUGGACUCUCCUCUGCUGCUGCUUCACAGAGUCCAGAGGUCAGGUCACAGUGACUCAGCCUGGAGCAGUGAGCUCUGCUGUGGGAGGCUCCGUCACCAUCACAUGUAGGACCAGUAGGGAUGUUUAUAACUCUAACUACUUAGCCUGGUACCAACAGAGAGAUGGAGAAACUCCUAAACUGCUCAUAUACUAUGCCAGCACUCGAGCAUCAGGGAUUCCAGGUCGUUUUACAGGCAGUGGAUCAAAAUCUGACUUCACUCUGACCAUCAGUGGAGUCCAGACUGAAGAUGCAGCAGUUUACUACUGUCAGAGUGAACACUACAUCAACAGUCAGUGGUUGUUCACACAGUGAAAAAGCGUCGUACAAAAACCUCCCUCAGUCAGACUGAACAGAAACUGAACUGACUGCUGCAGCUGGAAGCUACUGCAGAGACUGAUACACUUCACUGAUGACACACACACACACACACACACACACACACACACAAAGCAGUGGCAGCUGCUGGUCUUUCAAACAGAGAAAGCUCACUUUAAGUUUACAUCAUAAAAGUUGUCAUAUUGUGGCGAGGCAGUAACUUUUAAAAGGAACAUUUAAUUGAAGCAGUUUUUCAACCACACACCGCCAUAGAACCACAGCAAAACACACCUCAAAGAUUUUCAGAUGGGUUUAAACACCGGAACUGUGUACAAAUUGUGAAAAUGAGCUAUAUCGCUCAUGGAAAUAAGGAACUCCAGAUGGCACUCUGUCAGAAGACUCCACUCGCAAAUAUCUGCAUGGGACUGAGCUCGAAAUGUGAAGCGCUGUCAGUCACAAAGGGGUUCAGCCUUGUAGACAAUUCCUCCAAUCAUCAUGCAUACACCGAGCAUCCUCUCCUGCAUACCGCUCCAUUAGGUCCCAGGGAAGCUGAGCCUCCCUGACAGUGACAGUUUUGUCGCAUUUAUCCAAUGACCGUCUCGCUUUGCUGCAUGAAAAAAACCUGCUCAACGCUGUGUCAUAGAAAUGCAUGAAGCAUCCGCGUCCACCGUGCUGACACGAGAAUGUAUAACAGGGAGGUCGCGUUUGAAAACUGGUGAUAAACAGCUGAUGUUUGAACAUCAUAGUCAUGAUGUUCAAUGCAUCCUAGAGCACAUUUAAUGCAAUGUAAAUUCUUAUUUUAAUGUAAAUUCAAUAGUGCAUAUUUGACCAUUUCUUCUAUGAAAUUUUAGGGGAAGUUCAGCCUCCCUUGUUGUCUCAGAGCAAUCGCCCCUGACAGAAACUGUGCACACGCAAUUCUAAUUAUAAUCUCUUUUUCGUAUUUGAUUGAUUUGAUUGAUUUAAUUAAUUUGUCAGUUAAUAAAGAGGAGACAAGCUCAGACAGUAAAUUAGAAAAGACUUGGUCAUGACCUUUGACCUCAUACUGGAUUGCAGCCAUCUCAACUCUGUCCAGUUACAAGAAAACA